ensembl:lncRNA
CCCACAAGAUACUAGGUACUUCUCCCACAAGAUACUAGGUACUUCUCCCACAAGGUACUAGGUACUUCUCCCACAAGGUACUAGGUACUUCUCCCACAAAUACUAGAUACUUCUCCCACAAGAUACUAGGUACUUCUCCCACAAGAUACUAGGUACUUCUCCCACAAGGUACUAGGUACUUCUCCCACAAGAUACUAGGUACUUCUCCCACAAGGUACUAGGUACUUCUCCCACAAGAUACUAGGUACUUCUCCC